rnacentral:rRNA from 1 species
GACGAACGCUGGCGGCGCGCUUAACACAUGCAAGUCGAGCGAGAACCUGGGCUUCGGCCCAGGGGACAGCGGCGAACGGGUGAGUAUCACGUGGAUAACCUGCCCUCGGCACCGGGAUAGCCCGGGGAAACUCGGAUUAAUACCGGAUAGCCAUUCCGACUCUCGAGUCGGUCUGAAAAGGUAGCUUCGGCCUCUGGCCGAGGAUGGGUCCGCGGCGGAUUAGCUUGUUGGUGGGGUGACGGCCUACCAAGGCGACGAUCCGUAGCUGGUCUGAGAGGACGAUCAGCCACACUGGGACUGAGACACGGCCCAGACUCCUACGGGAGGCAGCAGUGGGGAAUCUUGCGCAAUGGGCGAAAGCCUGACGCAGCGACGCCGCGUGAGGGAGGAAGGCCUUCGGGUUGUAAACCUCUUUCAGGAGGGACGAAGCUACUCGGGUGAAUAGCCCAGAGGGUGACGGUACCUCCAGAAGAAGCCCCGGCUAACUACGUGCCAGCCGCCGCCGUAACAC